UAGGGAAUCUUCGGCAAUGGACGAAAGUCUGACCGAGCAACGCCGCGUGAGUGAAGAAGGUUUUCGGAUCGUAAAACUCUGUUGUUAGAGAAGAACAAGGACGUUAGUAACUGAACGUCCCCUGACGGUAUCUAACCAGAAAGCCACGGCUAACUACGUGCCAGCAGCCGCGGUAAUACGUAGGUGGCAAGCGUUGUCCGGAUUUAUUGGGCGUAAAGCGAGCGGAGGCGGUUUCUUAAGUCUGAUGUGAAAGCCCCCGGCUCAACCGGGAAGGGUCAUUGGAAACUGGGAGGCUUGAGUGCAGAAGAGGAGAGUGGAAUUCCAUGUGUAGCGGUGAAAUGCGUAGAUAUAUGGAGGAACACCAGUGGCGAAGGCGGCUCUCUGGUCUGUAACUGACGCUGAGGCUCGAAAGCGUGGGGAGCAAACAGG
rnacentral:rRNA from 1 species